rnacentral:lncRNA from 1 species
UUAUAAAACAAAAAAGCCAAAAAAAUCAAAAAACCCGAAAAGACCAAAAAGGAGGAUGGUACCUGACUGCUCGGCCCAGCAGGAACCAAGGAGAAGCAGGAAGAGGCCGCGAUAUAAGCCCCCGUGGUCGCAGACGUUCUGACCGCGGGAAACUACUCAUCGACCGCGGUCGCGUAGUCCUAACCGCGGCCAAGCACUUAGUUGCCGCGGUCGUGCAGCCCCUGACCGCGGCAUUUGGUCGUUGACAUCCAAGCCCGACCCAAACCACCCCUUUCACCUCAUUUCACCU